rnacentral:rRNA from 1 species
CCCUUAGAUGUUCUGGGCCGCACGCGCGCUACACUGAACAGUUCAACAAGUCUUAACCUUGGCCGAUAGGUCUGGGUAAUCUUUGAACGCUGUUCGUGAUUGGGAUAGACCUUUGCAAUUAUGGGUCUUCAACGAGGAAUUCCUAGUAAACGCAAGUCAUCAGCUUGCAUUGAUUACGUCCCUGCCCUUUGUACACACCGCCCGUCGCACCUACCGAUUGAGUGAUCCGGUGAAUAAUUCGGACUGCAGCACUGCUUGGUCUCCAGGCUUUGCAGCGGAAAGUUUAGUGAACCUUAUCACUUAGAGGAAGGAGAAGUCGUAACA